AAUUUGAAAGCUGGCUCCGGCCCGCGUUGUAAUUUGCAGAGGAUGCUUCUGGCGAGGUGCCUUCCGAGUUCCCUGGAACGGGACGCCAUAGAGGGUGAGAGCCCCGUAUGGAUGGACACCAAACCUGUGUGAAGCUCCUUCAACGAGUCGAGUAGUUUGGGAAUGCUGCUCUAAAUGGGAGGUAAAUCUCUUCUAAAGCUAAAUACCGGCCAGAGACCGAUAGCGCACAAGUAGAGUGAUCGAAAGAUGAAAAGCACCUUGAAAAGGGGGUUAAACAGUACGUGAAAUUGUUGAAAGGGAAGCGCUUGUGACCAGACUUGCGCCGGACAGCUCAUCAGGGGUUCUCCCCUGUGCACUCUGUCCGGCUCAGGCCAGCAUCGGUUCUCGUGGGAGGAUAAGAACGGUAGGAACGUGGCCCCCCUCCGGGGGGGUGUUAUAGCCUGCCGUACGAUACUCCCGUGGGGACCGAGGUUCGCGCUCCGCAAGGAUGCUGGCGUAAUGGUCAUCAGCGACCCG
rnacentral:rRNA from 1 species